rnacentral:rRNA from 1 species
GAUGAACGCUGGCGGCGUGCUUAACACAUGCAAGUCGAACGGAAAGGCUCCUGCUUGCAGGGGUACUCGAGUGGCGAACGGGUGAGUAACACGUGGGUGAUCUGCCCUGCACUUCGGGAUAAGCCUGGGAAACUGGGUCUAAUACCGGAUAGGACCACAUUUUGGAUGGUGUGGUGGAAAGUUUUUCGGUGUGGGAUGAGCUCGCGGCCUAUCAGCUUGUUGGUGGGGUAAUGGCCUACCAAGGCGUCGACGGGUAGCCGGCCUGAGAGGGUGUACGGCCACAUUGGGACUGAGAUACGGCCCAGACUCCUACGGGAGGCAGCAAUGGGGAAUAUUGCACAAUGGGCGCAAGCCUGAUGCAGCGACGCCGCGUGGGGAAUGACGGCCUUCGGGUUGUAAACUCCUGUCGCUAGGGACGAAGCGUUUUUGUGACGGUACCUGGAGAAGAAGCACCGGCUAACUACGUG